GAUGAACGCUAGCUACAGGCUUAACACAUGCAAGUCGAGGGGCAGCAUGGUCUUAGCUUGCUAAGGCCGAUGGCGACCGGCGCACGGGUGAGUAACACGUAUCCAACCUGCCGUCUACUCUUGGACAGCCUUCUGAAAGGAAGAUUAAUACAAGAUGGCAUCAUGAGUCCACAUGUUCACAUGAUUAAAGGUAUUCCGGUAGACGAUGGGGAUGCGUUCCAUUAGAUAGUAGGCGGGGUAACGGCCCACCUAGUCUUCGAUGGAUAGGGGUUCUGAGAGGAAGGUCCCCCACAUUGGAACUGAGACACGGUCCAAACUCCUACGGGAGGCAGCAGUGAGGAAUAUUGGUCAAUGGGCGAGAGCCUGAACCAGCCAAGUAGCGUGAAGGAUGACUGCCCUAUGGGUUGUAAACUUCUUUUAUAAAGGAAUAAAGUCGGGUAUGCAUACCCGUUUGCAUGUACUUUAUGAAUAAGGAUCGGCUAACUCCGUGCCAGCCGCCGCAGUAA
rnacentral:rRNA from 1 species